rnacentral:rRNA from 1 species
UACGCAGGUGGCAAGCGUUAUCCGGAUUUACUGGGUGUAAAGGGCGUGUAGGCGGGACUGCAAGUCAGAUGUGAAAAUUAUGGGCUCAACCCAUAACCUGCAUUUGAAACUGUAGUUCUUGAGUGAUGGAGAGGCAGGCGGAAUUCCGUGUGUAGCGGUGAAAUGCGUAGAUAUACGGAGGAACACCAGUGGCGAAGGCGGCCUGCUGGACAUUAACUGACGCUGAGGCGCGAAAGCGUGGGGAGCAAACAGG